UCGGACGGCAGCAUAGAAGAGGCUUGCUCUUUUGAUGGCGAGUGGCGAACGGGUGAGUAACGCAUCGGAACGYACCGAGUAGUGGGGKAUAACUGUCCGAAAGGAUGGCUAAUACCGCAUAUUCUCUGAGGAGGAAAGCAGGGGACCUUAGGGCCUUGCGCUAUUUGAGCGGCCGAUGUCUGAUUAGCUAGUUGGUGGGGUAAGAGCCCACCAAGGCGACGAUCAGUAGCGGGUCUGAGAGGAUGAUCCGCCACACUGGGACUGAGACACGGCCCAGACUCCUACGGGAGGCAGCAGUGGGGAAUUUUGGACAAUGGGCGCAAGCCUGAUCCAGCCAUGCCGCGUGUAUGAAGAAGGCCUUCGGGUUGUAAAGUACUUUUGUCAGGGAAGAAAAGCCGCCGGCUAAUACUCGGYGGUGAUGACGGUACCUGAAGAAUAAGCACCGGCUAACUACGUGCCAGCAGCCGCGGUAAUACGUAGGGUGCGAGCGUUAAUCGGAAUUACUGGGCGUAAAGCGAGCGCAGACGGUUACUUAAGCAAGAUGUGAAAGCCCCGGGCUCAACCUGGGAACUGCGUUUUGAACUGGGUAACUAGAGUGUGUCAGAGGGGGGUAGAAUUCCACGUGUAGCAGUGAAAUGCGUAGAGAUGUGGAGGAAUACCGAUGGCGAAGGCAGCCCCCUGGGAUAACACUGACGUUCAUGCUCGAAAGCGUGGGUAGCAAACAGGAUUAGAUACCCUGGUAGUCCACGCCCUAAACGAUGUCAAUUAGCUGUUGGGGUACAUGAUGCCUUAGUAGCGUA
rnacentral:rRNA from 1 species